GUGCUCAUUUUGGCGGCACAUAUACAAAAAUUGCAAUGAUACAGAAAAGAUUAGUGUGGCCCCUGCCCAAGGAUAACAUGCAAAUUAGUGAAGCAUUCCAUAUUUAA
ensembl:snRNA U6 U6 spliceosomal RNA